CGGAGUGAAGGCUUCAUCAGAUGAACUGCUAAGGAAAUUUGCGGAAAUGGGUUCGGGAUCCAAAGACAAGGCCACCGCGAAGAAAGAGCUUUCGCAGUUGGCAAAACGACGCCGCUACCACCGGGAAAAAAUCACCGGAGAAAAUGACGAUGAUGAUGAGCAGUACUGUGAGAGCCCCUCCACCUCCUCCUUAAGCCGCCGGGCCAGUUUGGUUGAGAGGAAAUCGCUUCUUCCUGCUGUGGCGGCAUCCACCCCACCCGGAUGUCGUCUGCGCUGAUUCAGCGGCUGGGGUUGAGGGAUUUCAAGAACAUGUCCAUUUUCGCCACAAUUGACAAGCAAAAUCAUAGAAGAAAUAAUAAUACAUAUUGGGAGCAACUAGAAUGGAAAGAACCCUCCUUGUGUGACUGCUUAGCAAAUUGGGAGCAACUUUUGUCAUAAGAGACAACAAAUCAAGUUUGGGGAACCUGGAGCGGAUGCUUGCCGGAAUUGAUUGGAACUUUAAUAGCUAUGGAGAUUUUGGAAGUCGAGAGAGUUCCUAGGUUUCCUCACUCUAUGAUUCUUGAAGGUGGAGCCAUUCACGUAGAUGGAGAAGGAACCCUCAUUUGACUAAAGAGCUAGUUGAGGAUGAACUUAAAGCAUAUCUUGGAGUCAAGAAGAUUAUUUGGUUGCCUUAUGGAUUAUUUGGUCACGGAAGAGACUGCUGGGGUUGUGGAGCGUUGGUUUGAGUCUGAAAGGGCUGCAGAGGUUGGGGAGGUGAAUUGGGAUGUGGGUAAGGUGAGGGAAGAGGUUGUGAACGGAGGAGGGGGUGGCAUGGACAAGGGUGGCUCGGAAAUGGGAAUUGAAGAGUUACGAGGAUGCAAAUGGAUGAAAUGGGUGUGUGCCUAUCGUGUGGAGAGAAGCUUGUUAGCAUUGAUAUUGAUCCUAAAGAGACUGAAAACUUCACUGCUUCAUUGACCAAUUUGGUACGCCAAAGAGAGGUUGAGGCUGAUUUUAUGCAGUUUCAGGGGUGGGGUUUGAGACAGCAGUCUGCUACUAAUGGCUGCCAAGGUACUGCUAGGCCUGAGAGACUUGUUUGAAAAUGAUCAAUGUACUUGUAAUUGUAUUGUUGAAAAUGUAUUCAAUGUCUUAGUCAAAGGCCCAUAUUUGCUGCUUGUGUAUGGUUCAAGCGAUUAAUACGUAAAAAGAAUGGCAUUCUGACUAACUUAGAAGGUGCACUCAUUCAGGAGUGGCUUCAGUGACAUGAUCCAUUUGAUGCAGUUAUAGAUGGUGCAAAUGUGGGGCUUAUUAAUAGGCAUAAUUUCAACUUUUCCCAGCUUAAUUCUAUUGUAAAUCAGUUACAUCAAAUGAGGCCGUCAAAGAGAUUACUACUUCUUGUUUUGCAUAAAAGUCAUGUUACUGGUGGUCCAGCGCAGAGUCAUAACAACAAGAAGCUGUUAGAGAAUUGGAAAAGGUCUGGUGCACUUUAUGCUACUCCUGCCGGUUCAAAUGAUGAUUGAGGUUUCUCUUUCCUUCCGAUUUGUGCCCAAUAAAGCGUGUGGAUUGUUGGACUAUAUGGAGGGUCUGCUUUCCCUUCGGCUAGCCACCGGUAAAGUGUGGCACUUUGAGGUGUGGAGUUUGUUGUCUCGUUCAAGAAUUCAAGGAGUUAGGUUACUGAUGAUUCGAGAUUUGUUACUCACUGGUGAAAAUGCCAAUGUGUUAUUACUCUCUUUAUUAUAAUUAUUGCAUUUUUGAAAUUCUCAAUGUAAGCCUAAGGGCAUAUUUUGUAAUGAUCCGUACUAAACUUGUACCAUUGUAUUUAUGCGAGAGGGAACCUUGAAUAUCCUAUGUA